rnacentral:siRNA from 1 species
GUACUUUCAAGUAAAUGAGGU